rnacentral:rRNA from 1 species
AUUGAACGCUGGCGGCAUGCCUUACACAUGCAAGUCGAACGGCAGCACGGGGGCGACUCUGGUGGCGAGUGGCGAACGGGUGAGUAAUAUAUCGGAACGUGCCCUGGAGUGGGGGAUAACGUAGCGAAAGUUACGCUAAUACCGCAUACGAUCUACGGAUGAAAGUGGGGGAUCGCAAGACCUCAUGCUCCUGGAGCGGCCGAUAUCUGAUUAGCUAGUUGGUGGGGUAAAAGCCUACCAAGGCGACGAUCAGUAGCUGGUUUGAGAGAACGACCAGCCACACUGGGACUGAGACACGGCCCAGACUCCUACGGGAGGCAGCAGUGGGGAAUUUUGGACAAUGGGCGCAAGCCUGAUCCAGCAAUGCCGCGUGCAGGAAGAAGGCCUUCGGGUUGUAAACUGCUUUUGUACGGAACGAAACGGUCUGGGUUAAUACCCUGGGCUAAUGACGGUACAGUAAGAAUAAGCACCGGCUAACUACGUGCCAGCCGCCGCAGUAA